rnacentral:lncRNA from 1 species
GUUUGCAAGGUGGCAAGUUUUAUUUGCUUCAUUUAAUUUUGAAAUACAAUAUUUAAAGGGAUCUGAUAAUAGUCUUCCUAAUUUUCUCACUAAAAAAUAUUUAAAUUGAUAAUUUUUUUCUUAUACAAGAUGAAGUCACAAUUUUCAACCCCCUUUAAUAGAGGAAGGAGAAGAGGAAGAACAGAAAUGGAUCGAGACAAUGUCCUAGUCCAAAUAGAAA